GUACGCGUGGGAACAUACCCUUUCCUGCGGAAUAGCUCUGGGAAACUGGAAUUAAUACCGCAUACGCCCUACGGGGGAAAGAUUUAUCGGGGAAGGAUUGGCCCGCGUUGGAUUAGCUAGUUGGUGGGGUAAAGGCCUACCAAGGCGACGAUCCAUAGCUGGUCUGAGAGGAUGAUCAGCCACAUUGGGACUGAGACACGGCCCAAACUCCUACGGGAGGCAGCAGUGGGGAAUAUUGGACAAUGGGCGCAAGCCUGAUCCAGCCAUGCCGCGUGAGUGAUGAAGGCCUUAGGGUUGUAAAGCUCUUUCACCGGAGAAGAUAAUGACGGUAUCCGGAGAAGAAGCCCCGGCUAACUUCGUGCCAGCAGCCGCGGUAAUACGAAGGGGGCUAGCGUUGUUCGGAAUUACUGGGCGUAAAGCGCACGUAGGCGGAUAUUUAAGUCAGGGGUGAAAUCCCAGAGCUCAACUCUGGAACUGCCUUUGAUACUGGGUAUCUUGAGUAUGGAAGAGGUAAGUGGAAUUCCGAGUGUAGAGGUGAAAUUCGUAGAUAUUCGGAGGAACACCAGUGGCGAAGGCGGCUUA
rnacentral:rRNA from 1 species